GAGGCUCCUUUAACAGACGCUGUUGAGGAGCAAGCUGAAGUAGAGGAAGAGACACCAGAGGAAGAAAUAACUGAGGAGGAAACAGAACCAGCGGCAGAAGAAGAAGCAGCACAUGGUGGUGCAGCGAGCGCUCCUGAGAUGGAGGAACUGUGGAAAGACGAGCCUACAGAAACGUAGGCCACGGCAGUCGCCGCUGUGAUGGAGCAGGGACCACUGACACUGCAUCAGCACCAUCUCAGCUCAGAUGAUGAUGCCCCUCUCCAGAGAAAUGAUUGAGUUGUCACGGCAACAAUCGCCCCUCUCCCCCCCUUUCAUCCCACCCUUUAAAUUUCCCUUUUAGUGUCAGUGUGUGAUGAUGUUCACUAAUAUGCUUCCUUUACCUUUGUUGUUUCUUUCAGGUUUUGGCUCAUUCUUUGUUUUCCUGUUUCCUUCAGGGUGUUUUAGUUGAGUGUGUUUGGGCAGAUGUCCACUCCCUGUGACGUACGAGUGUGUGCUGCACUCGCAGUCUUGUACCUCUCAGCAAACAGAGCUGGAGCUGCACGUUAAGAAGCUUCACACUUUAAAGUGUUGGAGCAACCAAAUCAAAUCCCCACUGAGAGCUGCUGCUCGGUGUAGAGAGGACUCUAUGCAAAGGUGUGACGCGCGUCACCCACCUCCUUCCUCCCCCUCCUCCUCCUUAGCAUCAGGUGAAUUUACCACUCAGUGUCGACUCCAGGAUGAGCCAUAUGCUAACACAUGAACUGUGUUUGUGAGUAAUGUUAUGUGCUGACAGAUCUUUGCUUCUCCUUCUUGUUGUGUGAGCUGCAGUUUAGUUUUGCAGACUGUGUUUGACUCUUUUUGUUAUCUCACUACAUCAAACUGUAUUCUGUCGACUCCCAGCCGGAUCUUCUGUUCGCACAGCUGAACUGUGAGGGCAGCACGGACGCUGCGCCCCUCCACGUUUAUAACAGUGGCUCAUUCCUGUGGAAAUCCAGCCUCUCCGUAGAGGCUCAACGCCACCCUGUCACACACAAUAAUGUCAAAUCUUAUUUUGAAGGCCAGAUGUAGACUCAAACAUCGUUUCUGUUUGUUCUGUAAACAUAAGUCACCUUGCUUCACUCGAGGAUGAUGAUGUGAAAACGCUGUAGGAAUCAGUAAACACUACGUGUGGUCCUCACUUACUGUAACUGUUUGUUAGGGGUGCGACAGCUCUUUCUCCUGUAACACUAGCUGGUGUUUCCGUUUGCUGAAACUCAAUGUGAACUGAACCUUUGUAACAUUGAAAAGUAGAAUCUUUACUGAGAGACAACUUUUAGAUUUUUUAAUAGAUUUUUUAAAAAGAAUUUGGAGAGAUGAGAAGAAUUCUUAUGAUGCUUGCGGUGCUUUGUACUAAGCCAUAAGCUGUUUGCUGACUUUGUCCUGUGAAGCACAAACAGAGAAACACUGUUUUUCAGUACUCGGCCCUGGUCACAGGUCACGUUCACGUCUCAGAGGGUUGUGGCGCACAGGCAGCUCUGUUGCUAAGCAGAGGCCACUUCUGAUGAACACUAUGCAACAAAGUAUCAAUGAUGACAGAGGAGUGGAGGGGGCGUGGCCACCCUCUUCCAUGACAUGCUGUCUUUGAGCCACAGCCCUCAGAUUAUGGUUGAGUGUGCAGGUGUGACACUGUGCUGACUAAAUGAUCAUGAAGUGGGAAGUUUUUCUGUUCUGGGAGCUACAAUAAACGAUUUGGGACAACA